UAGCGUAUAUUAAAGUUGUUGCAGUUAGAACGCUCGUAGUCGGAUUUCGGGGCGGUCCGACCGGUCUGCCGAUGGGUACGCACUGGUCGGCGCGUCCUUCCUUCCGGAGACCGUGCCUACUCUUAACUGAGCGGGGGCGGGAGACGGAACGUUUACUUUGAAAAAAUCAGAGUGUUUCAAGCAGGCAGCUCGCUCUUGCAUGGAUUAGCAUGGGAUAAUGAAAUAGGACUUUGGUGCUAUUUUGUUGGUUUCGAACACCGAAGUAAUGAUGAGAAGGGACAGUCAGGGGCACUCGUAUUCCGCCGAGAGAGGUGAAAUUCUCAGACCAGCGGAAGACGAACCACUGCGAAAGCAUUUG
rnacentral:rRNA from 1 species